rnacentral:rRNA from 1 species
GGUUGGGGAUGGGCUCGCGGCCUAUCAGCUUGUUGGUGAGGUAAUGGCUCACCAAGGCGUCGACGGGUAGCCCGCCCUGAGAGGGUGACCGGCCCCCUGGGACUGAGACACGGCCCAGACUCCUACGGGAGGCAGCAGUGGGGAAUAUUGCACAAUGGGCGCAAGCCUGAUGCAGCAACGCCGCGUGAGGGAUGACGGCCUUCGGGUUGUAAACCUCUUUUAGCAGGGAAGAAGCGAAAGUGACGGUACCUGCAGAAAAAGCGCCGGCUAACUACGUGCCAGCAGCCGCGGUAAUACGUAGGGCGCAAGCGUUAUCCGGAAUUAUUGGGCGUAAAGAGCUCGUAGGCGGUUUGUCGCGUCUGCUGUGAAAUCCGGAGGCUCAACCUCCGGCCUGCAGUGGGUACGGGCAGACUAGAGUGCGGUAGGGGAGAUUGGAAUUCCUGGUGUAGCGGUGGAAUGCGCAGAUAUCAGGAGGAACACCGAUGGCGAAGGCAGAUCUCUGGGCCGUAACUGACGCUGAGGAGCGAAAGGGUGGGGAGCAAACAGGCUUAGAUACCCUGGUAGUCCACCCCGUAAACGUUGGGAACUAGUUGUGGGGUCCAUUCCACGGAUUCCGUGACGCAGCUAACGCAUUAAGUUCCCCGCCUGGGGAGUACGGCCGCAAGGCUAAAACUCAAAGGAAUUGACGGGGACCCGCACAAGCGGCGGAGCAUGCGGAUUAAUUCGAUGCAACGCGAAGAACCUUACCAAGGCUUGACAUAUACGAGAACGGGCCAGAAAUGGUCAACUCUUUGGACACUCGUAAACAGGUGGUGCAUGGUUGUCGUCAGCUCGUGUCGUGAGAUGUUGGGUUAAGUCCCGCAACGAGCGCAACCCUCGUUCUAUGUUGCCAGCACGUAAUGGUGGGAACUCAUGGGAUACUGCCGGGGUCAACUCGGAGGAAGGUGGGGAUGACGUCAAAUCAUCAUGCCCCUUAUGUCUUGGGCUUCACGCAUGCUACAAUGGCCGGUACAAAGGGCUGCAAUACCGCGAGGUGGAGCGAAUCCCAAAAAGCCGGUCCCAGUUCGGAUUGAGGUCUGCAACUCGACCUCAUGAAGUCGGAGUCGCUAGUAAUCGCAGAUCAGCAACGCUGCGGUGAAUACGUUCCCGGGUCUUGUACACACCGCCCGUCAAGUCAUGAAAGUCGGUAACACCUGAAGCCGGUGGCCUAACCCUUGUGGAGGGAGCCGUCGAAGGG